GUCUCCUCCAUGCGCCGCACUCCUCCCGUCCCGUGCGAGCGCGAACAGAGAGCGAAAACCGAGAUGGCGACGCCCCUGAUCUGCUCGCCGUAGGUCCUUCCUCGACGCCGGCCGCUGCAGCUCCCUCCUCGACGCCGGCCGCUGCAGCUCCCUCCUCGACGCCGGGCGCUGCAGCUCGUUCCUCGACGCCGGCAGCUGCAGCUCCCUCCUCGACGCCGGCCGCUGCAGCUCGUUCCUCGACGCCGGGCGCUGCAGCUCCCUCCUCGACGUCGGGCGCUGCAGCUCCUCUUCGCCGUCCCGCGCAGCGACGCCGACUUCUGCACAUCCUUCUUCGCUCACUGCCGCACGUCCGCCCUAGGCGAUUGAAAGUAUGAGCAUGAUGGAUAAAGAAGAACCAGAAGGUGAUGAACCAGAUUUUCAUGCAGAAGAAUUAGAAGGGCAUGAGGGUGAGAUGGAGUUGUUUAUUGUACCUCCAGAUCCUCCUCGCACUCGGCAGAAACGUCCAAGAUCAAGGGGACAGCAGCAGGAAGCACAACCACAGCCGCAGCCUAGUGCCGAACAGCCACAAUCGCAGCCUAGUGCCGAAUAACCACCAUCACAGCCUACUGUCUCUUCGAAAUUGAAGUCGAAGGUUUGGCUUGACUUCACCAAGCUUGAGUAAAAAGGUUAUAACCCCGAAUAGAAGCUCACUCAAACCCAAGACAGUUGAGGCCUUGAUGUGUUUGCAAGAUUGGUAUCGCUGCAAACUCCAGAAAGUGGAAGAAUCUAAGAGAAAAGAGGAUGUGGUUAAUCUUGAUGAAGAAGAGGAUUCUUCUUCUGAUGAAGAAUAGCUGCCUGGAGCAAAGAGAGAGGGAGUUGGUGUUGGUCUGUUGGAAAAAUGAGGAGCUGCGCAUGAAGCAAAGAGAGAGUUGCUGUUGCAUCUACUACUCUUCUCUUUAAUUUGGUCCCAUCUUCCAUACUUAUUUUGGACUGUAAUAAUUACGGAGUCUCUAUUUGGGUUUUCGUCA